UCACUUUGAAACUUUGUAAACAAGUCUCACACGCUGCUUUAAAGCUCCUCGCGUGCGGAAAGUCCGAGAAAUGACGCAGGCGAGCGACCCUCGGCUCCGAGAACAGACAAUCCAGAUGUGAAAUCAAAACCCAGUAUUCAUGAAGACACAGAGGAAUAAUAUGAUGGACAGCAGAAGGAUAAGCGGCACCAACAAGCCCCCCUCCCCUCUUGGCACACCUGGGUGUCAUGAUAAACAUGGCGGAAAUAAGCGAAGAAGAAGAUCUGAGCCCACGGGUGAGCCUUCAAUGAGCCGGAUCCCGGGGUUAUGCUCAGGAGCCUCAGAAGGUGAUCUCAGACGUGAGGUUAGAGGAAAGGACCCUGACUUGAUGAUUCUCUGUUGUGCUCCAUUUGCAAGACCUGUUUUUGACUUGAUUAAGAUUUUUUUUUAAAUAUGCUGCUAUGCCACAUAUGAUGAUGAUAUGAUUAUCUUUAAUAUAUAUUAUAACAUUUAAAUAAAAUGUACAAGUCAACAUAAAUU